rnacentral:tRNA from 1 species
GGGGGAAUAGCUCAAUGGUAGAGUAUGUGCUUAGCAUGCAUACGGUCCUGGGUUCAAUCCUCAGCACCUCCA